UAUGUCUUAGUUUAGGAAGAAUUUUUGUUUUUGGUGCAGAAGGGUUUGGACAUAA
rnacentral:tRNA from 1 species